rnacentral:rRNA from 1 species
AGGUUGAUUCUGGCUCAGGAUGAACGCUGGCGGCAGGCUUAAUACAUGCAAGUCGAACGGUAAGGUCCGAAGUGGCAACACGGAGGAUACACGAGUGGCGCACGGGUGCGUAACGCGUAUGCAACCUGCCCCCGACCGGGACAAAACAGCUGGAAACGGCUGCUAAUAUCCCAUGGUCAUGCGGAAGGGCAUCCUUCUUCAUGUAAAGAUUCAUUGGUCGGGGAUGGGCAUGCGUAUUAUUAGGUAGUUGGCGGGGUAACGGCCCACCAAGCCGACGAUGAUUAGGGGUCCUGAGAGGGUUAACCCCCACACUGGAACUGAGACACGGUCCAGACUCCUACGGGAGGCAGCAGUAGGGAAUAUUGGGCAAUGGGAGCAAUCCUGACCCAGCCAUGCCGCGUGAAGGAAGACGGCCCUAUGGGUUGUAAACUUCUUUUGCCGCAGAGUAAACCCGGUCACGAGUGGUCGGUUGAGAGUAUGCGGCGAAUAAGUAUCGGCUAACUCCGUGCCAGCCGCGGC